rnacentral:misc_RNA from 1 species
CAUAUUGAUUUUUUUUAUUACAGGACAGAAUACUUCAAGAAGUUGGCAGUGGUAAAAGGAACGUUUUGGCUGUUUUUUAUUUAUAAUUUCUGCGUUUUCACCUAAAAAAUAUGGUUUGGAAUCCAAAAGUAAACAACUGAAAGUGUGAGUCUUUUGUUUAAGAGUGAUUUCAGCAGGGAAAACGUAAAAAUGGAACACAAUGAAGAUCACACUGUCGUCCCGAAAAAAUCGAGCAAACAACACAAUGUUCUGCCGUUGUGGGGCAACGAAAACUCGAUGAACUUGAAUCCGCUGAUAUUGGCGAAUAUUCAGAGUUCGAGUUAUUUCAAAGUGCACUUGUUCAAACUGAAGACUUACCAUGAAGUGGUCGACGAGAUUUAUUACCAAGUGAAGCACCUGGAGCCGUGGGAACGGGGAUCGAGGAAGACGUCUGGUCAGACGGGCAUGUGUGGCGGGGUGCGUGGUGUGGGCGCCGGUGGUAUUGUGUCAACAGCGUUCUGCCUCCUUUAUAAACUAUACACGCUGCGCCUAACACGUAAGCAAGUCAAUGGACUCCUGAGCCACACCGACUCACCCUACAUUCGGGCACUAGGUAAGUGGUUUUAUGUACAUAAGAUACACGCAGCCGCCCGGCGAUCUGUACGACUGGUAUGAGGACUAUUUGCUCGACGAGGAAGAGAUUGAUGUGAAGGCCGGCGGAGGACAGGUGGGUUCCGUUCACAAUGUUGACCGCGACGACGAUGUAUAAUGACAAUCGGCCAAAUGGUCUACCAAUUUCUGACAAAGCUGGAUUGGUUUUCAACCCUAUUCCCGCGUGUCCCGGUGCCUAUUGAGAAGCAGAUCGAGAAGAAGCUUGCGGAAUUCUCAAGGACAAAUAACGUUAACU